GCACUGCCGAGGAGACCCGAAAAGGUCGAAACAGCUGUCCAGUGC
rnacentral:hammerhead_ribozyme from 1 species